rnacentral:rRNA from 1 species
GACGAACGCUGGCGGCGUGCUUAACACAUGCAAGUCGAGCGGUAAGGCCCUUUCGGGGGUACACGAGCGGCGAACGGGUGAGUAACACGUGGGUGACCUGCCCUUAGCUCUGGGAUAAGCCUGGGAAACUGGGUCUAAUACCGGAUAUGACUCCAUAACGCAUGUUGUGGGGUGGAAAGCCUUGUGCGGCUAGGGAUGGGCCCGCGGCCUAUCAGCUUGUUGGUGGGGUGAUGGCCUACCAAGGCGACGACGGGUAGCCGGCCUGAGAGGGCGACCGGCCACACUGGGACUGAGACACGGCCCAGACUCCUACGGGAGGGCAGCAGUGGGGAAUCUUGCGCAAUGGGCGAAAGCCUGACGCAGCGACGCCGCGU